rnacentral:misc_RNA from 1 species
UCUCCGUUGGUGAACCAGCGGAGGUAUCAUUACAGAGUUUUCUAAACUCCCAAACCCAUGUGAACUUACCAUUGUUGCCUCGGCGGAGCCUACCCUGUAGCUACCCUAUAAGGUGGCUACCCUGUAGCGCCCCGCCGGUGGAUUUUCAAACUCUUGUUAUUUAUAGUAAUCUGAGAUUAUUAAAUUAAAUAAGUCAAAACUUUCAACAACGGAUCUCUUGGUUCUGGCAUCGAUGAAGAACGCAGC